ACCACACUGGGAUUGAGCAGGAGGCCAACAUGGGAUGUGGAUCUGGUGAGGUCUGAGGGUUGCUAUCUCAAAGACCAGGGCCAAGACAUCAGAUGUACUUCAGCUUGUGAUUCCCUCCUCCAGCACUUAAGCUCGGAAAGAUUAGGGGAUUUUCUGAGUUUCUCUGUCUCAGUUUUCUCGCGUGUGGAACAAGUCUCCUGCUUCCACCUGUGGGCUGUAGGUUAGUACCGGGCUAGCCCUAUUGGGAAGAAUGGAGAAGGUUUCGCUGCGAACCUCAUCAUUAAGGAACGGGGCUCACUAUUCUGACUAUUCAGGUCUUCUUUUUGGAAGUUUCAUUUAAUUGGAAUCUUUCUUACAUUUCAUAUUACAGUUAUUAAAUUUUGCAUUUCAGAUAUGUAGUACGCAUUUUAUUUCCUCUCUUGAGAAGCCCCUGGAAGUGAGAUAGCAGUUUCUGCUGACUUAGCACCGACUCUCAGCUCCAUUGGGUCCCCUGGCCAGUAGGUAGAAACGGACUUUUCCAGAAAAGUGUUUAGUCCCUGACAGCAAUUUUAGUUUUCUGCCCCUUUUCCAUCUAAAAAAGUUGAAAAUGGAUUUUAUAACUCAAUUUUCUUGGACCUAAGAAUCUCAGUUGGGUUUCCAGAGCGGGCAGUUUGUGAAGCGGCCAGCGAGAAUUGGUACAUUUCUAUCAAGUCUUGGGAAACCUCAUGCAACUUAAGGACACUUGUUCUCAGCUCACUAGUCUUUCAACAUGCAUCCAUUUUUUUUUU